GUGCCAGCAAACUUGGAAGGUGGUGUAUCCCCUCUCGUUCGGCCAACAUCAUCAGACCAGCCGAGCUGUCGAGAAUUCUGGACGAACUGUGUGUGAAGGGAUUCAAGGUUUUGGCGAAUAUCUUGGACGUCGCAAAAAGAGUUAUCGAAAAUGGAGGGAAACAAAACACCAGAACGCACGGCUCCACCUUCCACGACUCCCGUGAAGCUGGCUCGGAAAAUGCGGCGAUCAAAGAGGCGUAAAACGCCAAUCCAAUCUAGACGGGUGCCCAUAUUAAAAAAGAACAAUAAGACCACGCCACCAUCAAUGCCGGAAUCUCCAGAAUCGCCACCCAUCGUUCCGGAAUCUCCGGAAUCGCCACCCAUCGUUCCGGAAUCUCCGGAAUCGCCACCCAUCAUUCCGGAAUCUCCGGAAUCGCCACCCAUCGUUCCGGAAUCUCCGGAAUCGCCACCCAUCAUUCCGGAAUUUCCGGAAUCGCCACUCAUCAUUCCGGAAUCUCCAGAACCACCAACCAUCUUACCCGAAUCAGCAGAACAACCAACCGUAGACGCUGUUAUAAACGUACCAGAGGAUCCGACUACCUCAUCGUCGACA